AGCCAUAUUGAAAAUCAUAGAAGUUGCUGUGACUGGGGAUUUACCUCUAAAUUAUUGACGAUAUUUCGACGGAACUUGCAUUAAAUGACCAACGAAAACAUUUGUAAGCAGUUAGCAAUGAUGAUGCAUUGUUUACUUUCUUACGGACCUGUUCCAGAAAGAUGGUUGACCAGGAACCCAGUUCUGGGCACCGUGGAUUUGCAGUUUUUAAAGCGGGCCAAUGUUUCGGUCGCAAGAAUCAGCAUCCCGGAAAAGUGGAAGUUUAAAUUGUGAAAGUAACGGUGUGGCGAAGUUGAUAAGCUUGAAGCAGAUUCCCUUGAACCGCGGAUUUCUUUCAACAGAGCGACCAACAACAUCUAGUGAAUGAACGCAAUAAUAUCGCAAAGUGAUUUUAAACAAAAAAAAACAGAUUGAUGUGAUUUAAUAAAAAUAAUGUCAAAAUAAACAUCAGUUACGGUCGUGCUUUA